rnacentral:rRNA from 1 species
UACGUAGGGGGCAAGCGUUGUCCGGAAUUAUUGGGCGUAAAGCGCGUGUAGGCGGUCCGGUAAGUCGGGUGUGAAAGCCCCGGGCUCAACCUGGGAAUUGCAUUCGAGACUGAAUAGCUAGGGUACGGUAGAGGGAAGCGGAAUUUCCGGUGUAGCGGUGAAAUGCGUAGAUAUCGGAAGGAACAUCAGUGGCGAAAGCGGCUUCCUGGACCAGUACCGACGUUCAGGCACGAAAGCGUGGGGAGCAAACAGG